rnacentral:lncRNA from 1 species
AGGAGAGGCAGAGAGAGAGGGAAAGAGAGAGGAAGAUGGACAGGAACAAGGAGAGGAAGAGGGAGAGGGAGAGAGAAAGGGAGAGGGAAAAGGAAAGAAUUGUUCGGACAUGAACUUGUUACAUAGCCAAGGAUAGCCCUGAAUGUCUGAUCAUCUGACCUCCACCUUCCAAGUUCUGGUGUUGCAUGCACCACUAGGCACUACCAGGUUGAUGUAGUUCUGGGAUUUGACCUCAGAAUUCCUAUUUGGCAGGUGUUGCAGUCUGAAUGAAAAUGUCCCCAUAAACUCAUAGGGAAUGGUAUUAUUGGAGGUGUGGCCUUGUUGGAAUAAAUGUGUCACUGAUACUUUGAAGUUUCAGAAGCUCAAGCUUCUUGCUGUUGAUGAUGAUCCAUAUGUAGAACCUUCUACUCCUUCUGCAGCACCAGGUCUUCCUGAAUGACACUGUGCUCUCCAUCAAGAAGAUAAAUGAACUAAACUUCUGAACUCUUGGCCUCCUUAGAACUGCAAAGUAUUUAAUACUCCAGAACAUCCCCCCAAAUAACUAAUUAUUUGGUGAAUCCAAUGACAUGCUGAUGACUGGGACAACUUGGUAUUGUUUGGACUGCUCCAGAAGUUCAUAUUGAAACCAAAACAAGUCUACAAUGCUUCUAUUAAUGAUAUACCCUGUAAGGAUGACUAGUUUAUGUUUGGUUCACAUAUUGGCUUCAGGAAAAAUCUAUCAGGGAAAAGUUGCUGAUUCCACAAAAGAUUAUCUUGGAAGAUGUGUUUCUCCAUACAUUUCGAGUGCUCAUUUAGCUUUCUUCAAGCUUGAAACUUGUUAUUCUAGCUCAUAAUGGGAUAACCAUUAAGCCUGUACCCAAAUCCAAUCAAUUUCUGACUUGCUGGAAGCUCUUAAUUUGUCCUUUAAAGAAGGUUUCAAAGUUCAAGAAUUUGGACAGUCUUUAACAAAAGUUUGAAAGUAAAACUUUUGGCUUUCAUCAGAAUUGGGAAAAGAAAAUGUAGAAACAGGUUUGAUUAUACUAGAUACCAACUUUCUAAAGUCAAGAUGCUCUCUGAUAAGUCUAUGUACACUGCUGAGAUCACUUUAGUGUCUUUCUACCAACAAAGUCUUAAUUAUGUACUUCUUACACAUGAGGCAGAGAGCACUCUGCACACUUUGUUACUGAGUCUUCACCUACCCCUAGGAGUCAAUUGUGAUGACCAUUAUUUAUUGUAUAUUUGAUGGGCUUUAGAAUCAUCUGGGAGGGGUUAGGAGGGAUGGCUUAGUUACAGAAAACCCAGGUUUGAUUUCUAGCACCUAUACAAUGGCUUACAACUGUGUGUAACUCCAAUUCUGGGGAAUCUAAUAACCUCUUAUGACCAUCCUGUGUACCAUACACAAACACAGUAGACAGCCAAAACAACCAAAACACCAUCACCUAUAAAACAUAAAUAAAUCUUAGAAUUACCUUGGAGACACACCUCUAGGCAUACCUAUCAGGGUGUUUCAGAGAAGCUGAAGUGAGGAGGUGAGAUUAACUCUGAAUAUAAGCAUCACCCUCCUAUGGACUGGGGAUCCUAGACUACAUAAAAG